CAAUUUGAGAGUUUGAUCCUGGCUCAGAACGAACGCUGGCGGCGUGGCUAAGGCAUGCAAGUCGAACGGACAUGUUUUCCGGGUAACUGGAGUUCAUGUUAGUGGCGAACGGGUGAGGAAUACAUGGGUAACGUGCCCCGGACUCAGGGAUAGCGGCGGGAUCUUCGGAUCCCUUUGCGAAAGUGCCGGUAAUACCUGAUGACCCAGCGAGAUCGCAUGGUCCUGCUGGCAAAGGUCCGCCGGUCCGGGAUCGGCCCACGUCCUAUCAGCUUGUUGGUGAGGUAAUGGCUCACCAAGGCUUCGACGGGUAUCGGGCGUGAGAGCGUGACCCGACACAUCGGAACUGAGACACUGUCCGGACACCUACGGGUGGCUGCAGCAACGAAUCUUCCGCAAUGGGCGAAAGCCUGACGGAGCGACGCCGCGUGGAGGAUGAAGUCCCUUGGGAUGUAAACUCCUGUCAGGGGUUAGGAAGAUCUGACCAACCCCAAAGGAAGCACCGGCUAACUCCGUGCCAGCAGCCGCGGUAAUACGGAGGGUGCAAGCGUUGUUCGGAUUCAUUGGGCUUAAAGCGCGCGUAGGCGGGGUGGCAGGUGCCUUGUGAAAUCCCUCGGCUCAACCGAGGAACUGCUCGGCAAACCUCCACUCUUGAGGCAGGUAGAGGCGACUGGAACCUUUGGUGGAGCGGUGAAAUGCGUAGAGAUCAAAGGGAACACCGAUGGCGAAAGCGAGUCGCUGGGCCUGU
rnacentral:rRNA from 1 species